AAGGAAUAUUGGUCAAUGGACGGAAGUCUGAACCAGCCAUGCCGCGUGCAGGAUGAAGGCCUUAUGGGUUGUAAACUGCUUUUGUACAGGAAGAAACCUCUUUACGUGUAGAGAGCUGACGGUACUGUAAGAAUAAGCACCGGCUAACUCCGUGCCAGCAGCCGCGGUAAUACGGAGGGUGCGAGCGUUAUCCGGAUUUAUUGGGUUUAAAGGGUGCGUAGGCGGGAUAAUAAGUCAGUGGUGAAAUCCUACAGCUCAACUGUAGAACUGCCAUUGAUACUGUUAUUCUCGAGUAUACUGGAAGUGGGCGGAAUGUGUUGUGUAGCGGUGAAAUGCUUAGAUAUAACACAGAACACCGAUUGCGAAGGCAGCUCACUAUCGUAUAACUGACGCUGAGGCACGAAAGCGUGGGGAUCAAAC
rnacentral:rRNA from 1 species